GAUGAAGAACGUAGCGACAUGCGAUAAGUAAUGUGAAUUGCAGAAUUCAGUGAAUCAUCGAAUCUUUGAACGCACAUUGCGCCCGCCAGUAUUCUGGCGGGCAUGCCUGUUCGAGCGUCAUUUCAACCAUCAAGCCCCCGGCUUGUGUUGGGGACCUGCGGCUGCCGCAGGCCCUGAAAACCAGUGGCGGGCUCGCUAGUCACUCCGAGCGUAGUAAUACAUCUCGCUCAGGGCGUGCUGCGGGUUCCGGCCGUUAAAAAGCCUUAUUUACCCAAGGUUGACCUCGGAUCAGGUAGGAAGACCCGCUGAACUUAAGCAUAUCAAUAAGCGGAGGA
rnacentral:misc_RNA from 1 species